CCAGUGAAGCCAAAGAAAGAGUAUGUGCGUGUGGUUCUGUUUGGGGUUUCGCCAUUUCGGAGCAUUACUUUGUUGUUAUAACAAAAUGGUGCACUGGUGAAGUGAAAAUGUUGCCCUCUCGUGUUGCUGGUCAUCUCCCUGAUCUGAUCUGAUCUGAUCUGGGUCGCCUGGGCUUCGUGGGGGGCUUGUGUCCAUUGCGGGUGGGUCUACCAGUUCCUUCUGAAAGGUCGGCUUUGCUCUCGUGCACCGCUAUAUGAUAACAUUGAUGAUAAAUAAGCUUGAAAAUCGAUAGAUACGCGGUCCAGAGAGAGGUCUGAUUUAUGGAGUGGUUUUGUGUCCUGGCCUUGGUGGUGAGUGGAGCAGGCGGGCUGCAACACCGUGCAGCGGCACAUGAACGCACCACUUGCAUGCAUGCAGCUCUACUUUGUGUGCUCUCCUGGUUUAUUGGUUGUGGUUUUUGGCUUUGGAUGAUGGGAUGUGGUGGUAGAUGGGGGCGAUGGUGUCGGAGCGAGAAUCGGCUGAUAUGACCUUCUGGGGCUGGAGGGGAGGGGUACCUCCCCGGGGGCAGCUGGCACCCGUGUGGUGGUGGUGGUGGUGGUGGUCAGGGGUAAAACAAUGCACCGAUAGUGGUUUCUCUCGCCACCACUACCAGCAGCAGCAGCAGUUGCCACCGGUGGAGGUAAUAAGCGAUGGAGAAGACUGAAAGACAGCUUGUUUGGUGUCACGUUGUGCUUGUUGCUGCCUGUGUGUGUCUGUGUGUGUGUGUGUGUGUGUGUUUUGCCAAUCGAAUCGAAUGUUUUGGACCUGAACAGGGCGCAUAUGGCAUAGGGGCCUCCUCUCCCUCGGGCCGUACCCACGACGUUACAUACAUACAAGACUCCCCGGCUGAUUGCGCCUGCGGUAGGUAGCUAGGAUGUGGUGAUGGUUCGUGUCGAACCCCGCCUUGGAAAGCCCAGCCCAAUAUUCCACAGGAGGGGGGAAGAGGCGGCUUGCCACAAGUUACCGCAAGCCGACUUGUGUUUAUGGCUGCCAACGAUACUCCUUGGAGGGGGGUUGGGUAGGACAGCAACUCCUAUGUCUCGAUGACGACGCAUCUCCAGUUGCUUUUGUCUCGCGAUGGUGGUCGUGGUGGUGGUGAUGGCAAAGGGAAAGGGAAAGGGCUGUGGAAGUGCCUGUGGUGGGUUGUCAUAUCAUAUCUUGCAGGUUACGGAGGGGGUUUUAUCGCUUUCGAGGCGGCGCUGGAAGGAGCCA
rnacentral:lncRNA from 1 species